UAUUUAAUAUAAUUAGUGUCAUUUCAAGUGAUGAAGACACAAAUUAAAAACACAUAUUCCAUAGUGAUAUGAUAUAUUUUGCUCGCUAUGAUUUGUAUAUGAUUUUCAAAUUGAGGUCGUGAUACAAAUUUAAUUAGUUUUUAUUUAUUUCCAUUGAGCAAAAUUCAAGCAAAACAUACUGUGAUCACAGGCAUCCAUUUUCCAUAACCUCCACCCCGGAUCAUAAUUACCCAAGCGUUCAUAUUAAGAUACUUGGUGAUUGGACUGAAAAUCUGAAAGCCAAAUUUGUUAAGGCGUGCCAGCCACCCCUCAAUGGCCAGAGUGGACUUCUAAGAGCUAACUGCAUCAAAGAAGACAGCCAACCGAGGUGAGCCCAAAUCGAAGUGGGGAAAUUAUGAUGCCAAGCGAUUAAUAUUUCAAAACUUGUUGUUUUUUUUAUUUGAAUUUUUCUUCUUUUUUCCUUGCGAGAUUCAUGGUUUGGAUUUAAAUUCUGGGCUGUGGUCAGAUUUAAUUAGUAUAGAUACUAUACGAAUUUAAUUUUUUUUAUUCCAACUGUUUAAUCAUUUGCUUGUUCCUGAUUUGAGCUACAAUACUCAAUAGGUUAUUGAAUUUAGAAUGCUAAGUAAUGCCAUUCAAAUAAGCUUAAUGAAUAUCUCAUAUAGUUGUUUCU